rnacentral:rRNA from 1 species
AUUGAACGCUGGCGGCAUGCCUUACACAUGCAAGUCGAACGGCAGCACGGGUGCUUGCACCUGGUGGCGAGUGGCGAACGGGUGUGUAAUACAUCGGAACGUACCUUAUCGUGGGGGAUAACGCAGCGAAAGCUGUGCUAAUACCGCAUACGCCCUGAGGGGGAAAGCGGGGGAUCGCAAGACCUCGCGCGAUUAGAGCGGCCGAUGCCUGAUUAGCUUGUGGGGGGGGUAAAAGCCCACCAAGGCGACGAUCAGUAGCUGGUCUGAGAGGACGACCAGCCGCACUGGGACUGAGAAACGGCCCAGACUCCUACGGGAGGCAGCAGUGGGGAAUUUUGGACAAUGGGGGCAACCCUGAUCCAGCAAUGCCGCGUGAGUGAAGAAGGCCUUCGGGUUGUAAAGCUCUUUUGUCAGGGAAGAAACACCGGCUCUAACACAGUCCGGGAAUGACGGUACCUGAAGAAUAAGCACCGGCUAACUACGUGCCAGCCGCCGCCGUAA